rnacentral:lncRNA from 1 species
UACAGUGAGAGAAAAAUGGAAUUCCGUUUUAUUUUGUCCUCUCUGAAACUUCCAUUUACACCAUGGCCUCAUCUAUCAAGAAGAGGAAGAAAAGGCUCUGCCUUAUACCAUAAAAAUCAAGUACUCAUGUACUUGUUAGAGGUGGCAGGAUAUUUGUUUCUCCAGUUUUUUGGCUCUAAGAAAUUACACUUUCAGUACCAGUGUAGUGAGGAACCACUGGCAAACUGUUGGAAAUGUCUUCUGGAUUAGUCAGUGUACCAUUUCAUAAAGUGCUUCUGGAGUUAAAAUCUGCCAAGCUGUCAAAAGUGUCCACACUUUUGCAACAAAGGAUAAAAGAUCCCAGUGGGUAUCACCGAGUCCUUCCCAGCUGGGUCUCAUUAUUGGCACUGCUGCUUUAACCUCCAAGCCGCUGGCCCUCACCCCAGGCGAAGCCUCCUGGCCGUUCCUCAGGUAGUGGAUUGUAAUUUGGAUCCUCAUCUGGUGUAUCAAAAAUAGCUUUCAAAAUAGAUGGUGUUUUCAGAAUUCUUAUUCCACCAGGUUGAUUGGGAAAUACAUCUUCCAAGAAAAAAUAUAUGUGUCCAACUGCAAUACCCAAAAGGUCCACAAUGAUUGAGUUCCCCAACAACAAGGAAAAUCCCAUGAGCACCCAGGGCAGAAAGGGGGCCUGGAAGUUGAGAAGGCCGAAGAAGUUCAUGCGGACAUAGGGGUUCCUUCGGCUCCACACAUAGACGAGCAUUAUUGUAAAGGCCUGGCCCAAGAAAACUAAGCUCACAAACAGACCAAAAAGGGUCAUUAAGAAUCCACCAAAAAGGAACAUAAAUACAAAGUCUGCUGUCCGACCUCGGAAAGAGCCUUCUUCUAGCAUUCGACAGUAACGAUAUAGAAAAAUCAUGUUAAAUAAAAAAUUGAAUCCAACUGGCCCAAAAAAUAAGAAGUUGGUGAUUAAUCUCCAUAUUUGAAAGUGUUUAAAGAUUAAUUCAGGAUUGAAGUACAACUGAAAAGGUGUGAUCAAUUCCAACUGCACGGCGGCGGUGGUGAGGACGCAGGCAGUGGUGUAGGCGCGGCUGACCGGUGGGAUCUGCAGGUACUCCAGCCGCAAGCUCUGGUACGCCAUCUUCCC